GCCCGGCUAGCUCAGAUGGUAGAGCAUUCGACUCUUAUUGUAGGGUUUCUCAGACAGUCUGUAUGGAUCUGUGGCCAUCGAAUUGUCGUGGGUUCGAGCCCCACGUUGGGCG
rfam:Puccinia triticina 1-1 BBBD Race 1 supercont2.66, whole genome shotgun sequence.